rnacentral:rRNA from 1 species
AUUGAACGCUGGCGGCAUGCCUUACACAUGCAAGUCGAACGGUAACAGGUUAAGCUGACGAGUGGCGAACGGGUGAGUAAUGUAUCGGAACGUGCCCAGUCGUGGGGGAUAACUGCUCGAAAGAGCAGCUAAUACCGCAUACGACCUGAGGGUGAAAGCGGGGGAUCGCAAGACCUCGCGCGAUUGGAGCGGCCGAUAUCAGAUUAGGUAGUUGGUGAGGUAAAGGCUCACCAGGCCGACGAUCUGUAGCUGGUCUGAGAGGACGACCAGCCACACUGGGACUGAGACACGGCCCAGACUCCUACGGGAGGCAGCAGUGGGGAAUUUUGGACAAUGGGCGCAAGCCUGAUCCAGCCAUGCCGCGUGCGGGAAGAAGGCCUUCGGGUUGUAAACCGCUUUUGUCAGGGAAGAAAAGGUUCUGGCUAAUACCUGGGACUCAUGACGGUACCUGAAGAAUAAGCACCGGCUAACUACGUG